rnacentral:rRNA from 1 species
AUUGAACGCUGGCGGCAGGCCUAACACAUGCAAGUCGAACGAGUGGCGGACGGGUGAGUAAUGUCUGGGAAACUGCCUGAUGGAGGGGGAUAACUAUUGGAAACGAUAGCUAAUACCGCAUACCAUCAGAUGUGCCCAGAUGGGAUUAGCUAGUUGGUGGGGUAAAGGCCUACCAAGGCGACGAUCCGUAACUGGUCUGAGAGGAUGAUCAGUCAAACUGGAACUGAGACACGGUCCAGACUCCUACGGGAGGCAGCAGUGGGGAAUAUUGGACAAUGGGCGAAAGCCUGAUCCAGCCAUGCCGCGUGUGUGAAGAAGGCCUUCGGAUUGUAAAGUACUUUCAGUCGGGAGGCGUUACCAACAGAAUAAGCACCGGCUAACUCCGUGCCAGCAGCCGCGGUAAUAC